rnacentral:tmRNA from 1 species
GCUCUGGCAUCCCGUCGGCGAAGCGACUAUAUCUGGCUUGCCGGUCGCUCCGGCUAUGGCGAUAAACGCCUCUCGGAAUAAGCGUUGCGGACCCGGGGGCAGUACCCGGCGCCUCCACCAUGAGGGGGCGAAUCAGGUUCGACGCGCGUGGUAAAGGAGUGGUUUUUGCCCGGCAUGGUACCGCCGUUAUCGGACCAAUCCUAGAAGUGCCAACGACAAUGAGCGUAUGGCCCUCGCUGCCUAAUAGGUAAGCGCGGUCCGGGGGGCACCGGGCAACAGAAGCCCCCCACC